AUUGAACGCUGGCGGCAGGCCUAACACAUGCAAGUCGAACGCGUGGCGGACGGGUGAGUCAUGUCUGGGAAACUGCCUUAUGGCGGGGGAUAACUACUGGAAACGGUAGCUAAUACCGCAUACCAUCGGAUGUUCCCAGAGGGGAUUCGCUAGUAGGUGGGGUAAAGGCUUACCUAGGCGACGAUCCAUAGCUGGUCUGAGAGGAUGACCAGCCACACUGGAACUGAGACACGGUCCAGACUCCUACGGGAGGCAGCAGUGGGGAAUAUUGCACAAUGGGCGAAAGCCUGACGGAGCCAUGCCGCGUGUAUGAAGAAGGCCUUCGGGUCGUAAAGUACUGUCAGCGGGGAGGCGGUACCUGCAGAAGAAGCACCGGCUAACUCCGUGCCAGCAGCCGCGGUAAUUC
rnacentral:rRNA from 1 species